UUAAUCAGUGUGUUUUACUCUUUUGAUUUAUUCCUUUUAUCAGUAUUGUAUUUAACCCAUAUGACGAGUGAUGAGUAGACGACGGUAUCUUUGAUUUAUGAACGUGUUAUGCCGGGAGGCAUAUCUCAGUUUGGGUGAAGGGAUGUGUCAUGAAUUUGUUUUUGCGUUAUCUGUUAACCGACUUAAUUAACUGAUUAUUAGCGAAUUGCUGUGUUAUGUCUGUCAUCGUGUAGGCCUAUUUGAAGUUUUGGACGGAACUUGGCUCAGUGGUUUGGAACUAAUUACGAGAUAACCGUCGCGAUUCUGACAGUUUAUAUCCAUAGUUAUUAAUGUAGUGAACGAUUAAUCAAAAGAUAUGACGUAUUCAGUACUUAGUUUGAUUGGCUUUAUGAUUGAAGUUUACGCCUUAGAGUCUUUUUACUGUUUUGUAAUUGGUUAGAGUUUUGAAAAUGAAUAAAGAGAGUUU